rnacentral:rRNA from 1 species
AUCCCCUCUAUAGUGCACAAAGGUGUGUGUGGAUGAAAGAGUAAGGAUCGAGCACACCCAUUAAGGGCAGUCUCAAAAUCCCAUUGUCUUCAGUAAUGAUCCUUCCGUAGGUGAACCUGCGGAAGGAUCAUUACUGAAGACAAUGGGAUUUUGAGACUGCCUUAAUGGGUGUGCUCUAUCCUUACUCUUUCAUCCACACACACCUUUGUGCACUAUAGAGGGGAUUAUCCUCUCUUUAUAUACACAAACACAUAGUUUAAAUGCAUGUAAUUACAAUACUCUAAGGAGUAAAUGUACAACUUUCAACAACGGAUCUCUUGGCUUUCGCAUCGAUGAAGAACGCAGCGAACGUGCGAAACGUAAUGUGAAUUGCAGAAUUCAGUGAAUCAUCGAAUCUUUGAACGCAUCUUGCGCUCCUUGGUACUCCGAGGAGCAUGCCUGUUUGAGUGUCGUGAAAUACUCUCAAUGUCAAUCUUUGAUUGAAAUUGGAAUUGGAUGUUGUUGUUUUUUUUUAUACAACUCAUCCUAAAUGCAUUAGCGAUCUGGCUUUGAUCACACACAAUGUGAUAAUAAAAAUGCAUUGUUACAAUCAUGUCAGGGUUGCUUCGAACCGUCCGUAAGGACAAUUCUGUGUCAUUUGACCUCAGAUCAGGCAGGACUACCCGCUGAACUUAAGCAUAUCAAUAAGCGGAGGAA